rnacentral:lncRNA from 1 species
GUUAAAACAAAAUAAGAAUAAAAUACAAUUAUAAUAUAUUCCCAAAUAUAAACCACCAUCACCCUUCCUCCUCCUUGCCACCACCCACACAACGUUGGCACCUCCAUCCCCGAUAUGACUCCCCAUUCCCACACCUGGCUCCACCACCUGUCAACAUCAAUGAGGAAAUCUCGAAACAGGCAAUUCGAGUUGAGAAGAAAGUUUUGAAAUAGGGAUCAAAUCUUCAUCGAAAGUUUUGAAAUAGGGAUCAAAUCUUCAUCUAAACCCAUAUCUCAAUCAUCAAAUACAGUACCAAUUGGUAAUGGAGUCAAGCUUCUGUUGAGUUCAAGAACUGAGUUUGACUCAUAUGAUGAGGUAAUGAAGACAGUGUUGGUCCAUGCGGUCAUUUCUGGAUUUAUGUUGAUGUUAUUUGGAGUAGAUGUUCUAUGUACCAACUAAAUUGACUGUGUGCCUAUGUUCAUGAUUGGUGGCGAUGGUUAUGACAACGAUGAUGUGGGUUAUUUGCAGCUGCUGAAGACGUUCUAAAUGAAAAAUUAGUGCAGUGGCAUGUUGGUGGUUGGGUGAUUUGAUUUCUGGUUUUGAUUUGGGUAGGGUAGGAUUUGAUUACUGGAUUUGAUAGAGAUAAAUUUGAUUUUUAGUUUCAGAUUGACAAGGAUGGAAGUGGGCACUGAUUUUUCUUAGAAUGAUUUUUUAAAGGUUGAACCCCAACUUUAAGGGUCCCCCACCGCCUUGCCCUGGAGCAUCGUGAAGGAGGUAAAUCGCAGGUUAUGCCUCUAAGGGUACAAGAUGAAAGGCUGCUUGUACACUUGUACUUACCCAAGAGCCAAAUCCAUAUUUUAGGAUUCGAACACUUGACGCGGCAGCCUCAAGCAAAGUUGGAUUUCUCCACCCUUCCCUUUUACCACUUGGAGAUGUGCCUUGGGGGUUUCUUAGAAUGAUUUUUCGAGUGGGUGAGUUGUCUUGGUUUGAUUUUUCGAAUGUGCUGUGGGCUGGAAGGUUAUGAUGGUGAGUGGAUGGUGGUGAGUAGGAGUGUUUUGGUGGGUGGCAGUUUCUGAUAGGGUUUUGCCAGAGAAGAAGAGUUAAUAUAUUGUCUUGAUUUGGAG